ensembl:lncRNA
CUGAAACAAUGAAGUGUUUUUUGAGCUAGAGCUAAACUAAUUUGAGCUAUAUUAAAAGUGCUGACGUGGGUGCUCAGCCACUGUUUUGGGUUGGUUGGUUUUGUUGGAGUGGUUGGUAAGUACCUCCUCUUGAAAAAUAAAAAGACAUCAAGCAGGACUGUUCUUAGAAAGGAUGGGAUUCCCAUGUCACGUUGUCACUUCAGUACAUGGAUCAGCUGCCACGGAAGACAGGAGACACACAUCGACGCUGAGCGCCUCCCUGGAGUGAGUACCACGGGGUUUCAGUGACAGAGGAGUGCAAAGGGGCUCUAAUGCAACAAGAAACCUUUGGAAAAAGGUUAUUUUAAAAUCCAUGCUGACAAUGAACUUGUUCUUAAGCAUAAUUAAUGGAAGAAACACACUGUAGGAAUCAUUUGUAGCUGAAAUUAGCUGAAAUCCAAAGCUCCUUGGGAGUUUCUGGCAUUUGAAAGUGUAGACUGUUGCCAAGUUCAAGGAGCAGUUCAUUAGCUAGGUAAACUUCUGGAGUACUUGUGUACCCUGUCAACCAAGGCAUUAAAGAGAGGAGCCCAUUUUUUUAGACACCAGCUUUCUCUUUUUGAAAGCUGUUCAAUUCCAAAAGCAAAAUUCUAAAAGAGAAUACCAGAAUAGAAAUGAAUAGAGGCAGGUCUGAGAGGAAUGACAUUACCAGUUAAAAUAAUGAAAUUGCUCCCUUUGUUUAGAAGAAAAACCAGUCUGGCGAGGUUGGGAAAUUUGGGGAUGAAGAGCGAAGAUGUAUUGCUUUGAGUAUCUUUGUUGAUAGGUAAAACAUGUGAUCCACUUAUAGUAAUUAUAUGAAUUAAUUUUUGUUGAUAAUUAUUGUUAAGGAAAAAGGGUUAGCUUUAGCAUUUCAAAUUGACUGGGACAGUGGUUAAAACAGGAGACCUAGGUUAUGACUUCUUUUUAAAAGGUCAUAUCAUAUCCCUGAAAGUUUGUAGGUUAGGUUGUUUGUAGCACAUAGUAGGCAUCUUUUAAAGGAAAAUAGGGAAAUCAAAUUGGUGAGGUAAGUAAAAGAUCAUGUAAGAAGUGGGCACAAUUUUUUUCUAACAGAAAAUUUAUUUUAGAAAGAUGGCUUUCUACUUACUCAAAUGUUUCUUUACUGAGGACAAUACAUGACUAUUUAGUAAAUUGUCUCCUUCAGAGCUGUAAAUGUUUAAGAGAUUACACCUGAUGUGUCAGACCAGGAAAUAUCCCAGAAUGUUUCUAGGAGAUAUAAAAAUGUUCCCAGCAAAUAAGUUUAUGCUCAGAAAUG